rnacentral:rRNA from 1 species
GACAGAGGGGGCAAGCGUUGCUCGGAAUCACUGGGCGUAAAGGGCGCGUAGGCGGCCAUUCAAGUCGGGGGUGAAAGCCUGUGGCUCAACCACAGAAUUGCCUUCGAUACUGUUUGGCUUGAGUCUGGUAGAGGUUGGUGGAACUGCGAGUGUAGAGGUGAAAUUCGUAGAUAUUCGCAAGAACACCGGUGGCGAAGGCGGCCAACUGGACCAGUACUGACGCUGAGGCGCGAAAGCGUGGGGAGCAAACAGG